UUUCCAUAGGUGAACCUGCGGAAGGAUCAUUCAUAAUAAAGUGUUUUAUGGCACUUUUUAAAAAUCCAUAUCCACCUUGUGUGCAAUGUUAGAUCUCGUCAAUCUUGGCGAGAUUUUUAUACAUCAACUCAUUCUUUAACUAAUUUGUCUGAAAAAUAUUAUGAAUACUUAAUUCAAAAUACAACUUUCAACAACGGAUCUCUUGGCUCUC
rnacentral:misc_RNA from 1 species